UCCGCCGGCGACCGGCGCACGGGUGAGUAACACGUAUGCAACCUGGCCGUGACAGAUGGAUAACCGGGAGGAAAUCCCGCCUAAUACAACAUAAUGCCGGGAGGGGGACAUCCCCUGCCGGCCAAAGGGGCGACCCCGGUCACGGAUGGGCAUGCGGCGCAUUAGGUAGUUGGUGGGGCAACGGCCCACCAAGCCGACGAUGCGUAGGGGUUCUGAGAGGAAGGUCCCCCACAUUGGAACUGAGACACGGUCCAAACUCCUACGGGAGGCAGCAG
rnacentral:rRNA from 1 species